AGAAAAUUCUGAAGAGUUAAAUUCAUUCAUGGCAAUCCAAUGAGAAUGAGGUCCAUCAAACCAACGACUCAGAUGGCGUCAUGCAUUGCGCAUGCUCUACGCCCACCGGAUGCAGAAGAGUCCGUUGAGAGUUAACGAGCGCACGUGGAGUUACUCCUUUGGUAUACUUGACAGUAAGAAAUACGUCGAAAAAUAAAGCCACAUUCUCUGAGAUUCUUAUACCUCCUCAACAAUACAUGAUUGACAAGGAAUUCCUGCGCAUAUUGACAGUACCGCUGCUAUCUACAUUCUUUUCUGAGCUAGACUUGUACACUUCAUGCAUGAUGAAGAUCUUUAGAAGCAAAGGUGGAGGGCUGGAAGAAAAAUGAGACGCAUCAUGGGGACCAUCUCCAAGGAUGACACAAUACAUACAAGACGAGCAUCCAUCCUGAAGUCCUUCUGUGACUACGACACCGUGAGAAACUUGUGAAGGAAUAUACGGACACAGAGGCCAACACUGAAGCCAUAGAACAAACUGUGAUGGGAGUGUAUGUCCAACAGCAGGAGGGCAUGGAGCCUGGAGAUGACCCAGAGAACAUCGGUGUCCUGGGUCCUACAAUGCAAAUUUGUGUUUACCUUUUAAAGUUCAAAAUUGGAAGUUAUAAAAUGUUCAUAAGGACUAUGUGGUUUGCUCAAUGGACAUUAGAAAAAGAUUGUUGGGUCAUAAGUUAAAGUCUCAUACACUUGCAGUGUAAACACUGAUUUUUGCAAGAUGGGCAAUUGUUACAAAGGAAAAUGUACCCACAGGUUUUCACAAAUUGUUUGACUGGAGCAGUUGUUCUCAAACUUAUUAAAUGUUUUCUCCGCACAUUAAAUAGACUAAAGUUACCAUUCAUGGAUACAGCCUGAUUAAAUGGAGCACUAAUGUAUGUAUGCAAGAAACAUUAUUGUAAUGUUGAAUGGGUUAGGGUUAGUAAUGUUGAAUGUUAAAUUGUGUUAAAAUUCAUGUUUUUGCUUGCAAUACAUGAUUUACUACAUUUUACCAAAGUUGCUUUGGGGAUAUUAUUUUUUGUUGGCAAACUAUUCUACAGACCAUCUUUCUUUCAGUCAGCAUGUAUUGAUUGUUCUGGAAGUUCUGUAGUCUCCUACGUGCACUGUUGUUAAUGAAUGAUUCUAAAUGUACCUGUUGUCUGUGAAGGUUCUCAGUCAUCCAGGUCAUCGUAGACUAAGGAGCUUGGAAAGAAAAGCGUCUGGACUUCUUUGAGUUGCUUGAAGACGUUUCACCUCUCAUCCGAGAAGCUUCUUCAGUUCUAAGGGUCAGUGGUGGAGAGUCCCAGAUUUAAAAAAACAGAGGAGGAGGUUUACGACACCAAUUGUCUGCCAUCUAUAAUCCAGUUUUGAGAUCCCUUCCCAGACGCCUUAACGCCCACUCACAUCCUGGGCCAUCUGACCUCAGGAAAUCACAUGAUAGGGUGGGGCCAGGUUUCACAAUGAGCUCACCCGAAACUCUGGCUGAUUAGGACCCACACCCACUUUCACAUCUUGGCUCAUGUGAUUAGGUAGAGGAUCAGCAGGGGGUCCUUUGUCCCUCUUUGGGGGGGAAACUCCCACUGGGUUUAAAUGUACCUGUUAUUUAUUCAGCUAGUGAGCUCAGUGAUCUCUUAGCUUUGAGCCACUCCAAGUGUGGGCGCAAUUUUUAACCUCCCAUGAAGUUAGCUAAUAAGUUUAGUAUGAGAUGGUUGAAGGGGAGAAAGCUG
ensembl:lncRNA